rnacentral:lncRNA from 1 species
CCACAUUAGAUGUCAGUUAUAUGGCCCUCAAUAUCAAAAAGCUGUAAAUGUUUGGGCAGGACUAGUGGGCAACCAAGUAAUUGGGCCAUUUUUUAUCUCAGAUUGACUCACACAAGAUGCCUAUCUGUCUUUACUACGCGCUCACAUUUUACCUGCAAUACGACAAUUUGGAAAUCAGGUAUGUUAUAUGGAAUUGUUCCAGCUGUCUUUCUAUUAUUUUUAGGUUUUUGUUGUUACAGUAAUUUCAUUAAAAACGAUGUGCAAGUAAUAAUUCAUAUUGUUCUUUUAUGUCACAAUAGG